ACGCCGCGUGAGUGAAGAAGGUCUUCGGAUCGUAAAGCUCUGUUGUAUGGGACGAUAAUGACGGUACCAUACAAGGAAGCCACGGCUAACUACGUGCCAGCAGCCGCGGUAAUACGUAGGUGGCAAGCGUUGUCCGGAAUUACUGGGUGUAAAGGAUGCGUAGGCGGAUAUGUAAGUCAGAUGUGAAACCCCCGGGCUUAACCCGGGGCAUGCAUUUGAGACUGCAUAUCUAGAGUGCAGGAGAGGAAAGCGGAAUUCCUAGUGUAGCGGUGAAAUGCGUAGAUAUUAGGAAGAACACCAGUGGCGAAGGCGGCUUUCUGGACUGUAACUGACGCUGAUGCAUG
rnacentral:rRNA from 1 species